UCCUCCGUAGCUCAACGGUAGAGCAACCGGCUGUUAACCGGUUUGUUGCUGGUUCGAGUCCGGCCGGGGGAG
rnacentral:tRNA from 1 species